rnacentral:rRNA from 1 species
GUUAAGCGACUAAGCGUACACGGUGGAUGCCCUGGCAGUCAGAGGCGAUGAAGGACGUGCUAAUCUGCGAUAAGCGUCGGUAAGGUGAUAUGAACCGUUAUAACCGGCGAUUUCCGAAUGGGGAAACCCAGUGUGAUUCGUCACACUAUCAUUAACUGAAUCCAUAGGUUAAUGAGGCGAACCGGGGGAACUGAAACAUCUAAGUACCCCGAGGAAAAGAAAUCAACCGAGAUUCCCCCAGUAGCGGCGAGCGAACGGGGAGCAGCCCAGAGCCUGAAUCAGUGUGUGUGUUAGUGGAAGCGUCUGGAAAGGCGCGCGAUACAGGGUGACAGCCCCGUACACAAAAAUGCACAUGCUGUGAGCUCGAUGAGUAGGGCGGGACACGUGGUAUCCUGUCUGAAUAUGGGGGGACCAUCCUCCAAGGCUAAAUACUCCUGACUGACCGAUAGUGAACCAGUACCGUGAGGGAAAGGCGAAAAGAACCCCGGCGAGGGGAGUGAAAAAGAACCUGAAACCGUGUACGUACAAGCAGUGGGAGCACAGAGCAAUCUGUGUGACUGCGUACCUUUUGUAUAAUGGGUCAGCGACUUAUAUUCUGUAGCAAGGUUAACCGAAUAGGGGAGCCGAAGGGAAACCGAGUCUUAACUGGGCGUUAAGUUGCAGGGUAUAGACCCGAAACCCGGUGAUCUAGCCAUGGGCAGGUUGAAGGUUGGGUAACACUAACUGGAGGACCGAACCGACUAAUGUUGAAAAAUUAGCGGAUGACUUGUGGCUGGGGGUGAAAGGCCAAUCAAACCGGGAGAUAGCUGGUUCUCCCCGAAAGCUAUUUAGGUAGCGCCUCGUGAAUUCAUCUCCGGGGGUAGAGCACUGUUUCGGCAAGGGGGUCAUCCCGACUUACCAACCCGAUGCAAACUGCGAAUACCGGAGAAUGUUAUCACGGGAGACACACGGCGGGUGCUAACGUCCGUCGUGAAGAGGGAAACAACCCAGACCGCCAGCUAAGGUCCCAAAGUCAUGGUUAAGUGGGAAACGAUGUGGGAAGGCCCAGACAGCCAGGAUGUUGGCUUAGAAGCAGCCAUCAUUUAAAGAAAGCGUAAUAGCUCACUGGUCGAGUCGGCCUGCGCGGAAGAUGUAACGGGGCUAAACCAUGCACCGAAGCUGCGGCAGCGACGCUGAUGCGUUGUUGGGUAGGGGAGCGUUCUGUAAGCCUGUGAAGGUGUGCUGUGAGGCAUGCUGGAGGUAUCAGAAGUGCGAAUGCUGACAUAAGUAACGAUAAAGCGGGUGAAAAGCCCGCUCGCCGGAAGACCAAGGGUUCCUGUCCAACGUUAAUCGGGGCAGGGUGAGUCGACCCCUAAGGCGAGGCCGAAAGGCGUAGUCGAUGGGAAACAGGUUAAUAUUCCUGUACUUGGUGUUACUGCGAAGGGGGGACGGAGAAGGCUAUGUUGGCCGGGCGACGGUUGUCCCGGUUUAAGCGUGUAGGCUGGUUUUCCAGGCAAAUCCGGAAAAUCAAGGCUGAGGCGUGAUGACGAGGCACUACGGUGCUGAAGCAACAAAUGCCCUGCUUCCAGGAAAAGCCUCUAAGCAUCAGGUAACAUCAAAUCGUACCCCAAACCGACACAGGUGGUCAGGUAGAGAAUACCAAGGCGCUUGAGAGAACUCGGGUGAAGGAACUAGGCAAAAUGGUGCCGUAACUUCGGGAGAAGGCACGCUGAUAUGUAGGUGAAGUCCCUCGCGGAUGGAGCUGAAAUCAGUCGAAGAUACCAGCUGGCUGCAACUGUUUAUUAAAAACACAGCACUGUGCAAACACGAAAGUGGACGUAUACGGUGUGACGCCUGCCCGGUGCCGGAAGGUUAAUUGAUGGGGUCAGCGCAAGCGAAGCUCUUGAUCGAAGCCCCGGUAAACGGCGGCCGUAACUAUAACGGUCCUAAGGUAGCGAAAUUCCUUGUCGGGUAAGUUCCGACCUGCACGAAUGGCGUAAUGAUGGCCAGGCUGUCUCCACCCGAGACUCAGUGAAAUUGAACUCGCUGUGAAGAUGCAGUGUACCCGCGGCAAGACGGAAAGACCCCGUGAACCUUUACUAUAGCUUGACACUGAACAUUGAGCCUUGAUGUGUAGGAU